AUGGUUCACUGCAAAAGUGCCAUCAGUGUUGAGAAGUAAUCAUUUUGUCUGUUUGUUCACAGAUAUAAUUCUCAUCCGGUGGAGAGUGAUACAACUUAUUUACUCUUAGAAUAGAUAAGUGGGACUUGGAUGUCGCACAUAAAGACAAGCAAAAUAGCAAGUACAGCCCAGAUCUAAAGGUAAGCUUAAUUCUUCAACAAGUUGAGCGCGACACUCCCUGGUCGAGAGUUCAGAGAGGUAUCAACGAAUCAACAGAAGUAGACUCAAGUCUUGACUCCUCCAGUUCAGAGGAGUCAGAAGAGAGCGAAGAAAGUUGGGAAUCUGGUGAGUAGCUUAAAUUUCAGUCAUCACUCUCCAUCUAAUUAAUACAUGAUUCGUUUUAUUAUUUGUGACCGUUUACGAAAAGAGACCCUAGUCCACAGACGCAAAAUUUUCAAAAGUGAUUUGUGUCUAAUUAGGUGAUAAAUAAGAGAAAACAAAGGUUGACCAAGGCCCCAAUUAAAACUUGUCAAAAAAGGAUUAACUGAUGAAACGAGUCAAAGGAAGAGGUCAAACAUGAAGUGGAAACUUUGAAAGGUCAUGUAUUUGUUGAUACAAAACGGAGAAGUUUAAAAGUGGCUUAUUAAGAUAUUCUCAUCUUUCGUGUGAGAAACACCCUUGAAAUUUAUGUGAUGAAACUAACAUGAAAAUUCGCAGUUUUUGAUCAAAAUUUCAUUUCGGACCUCUCCCAGUGGUUUGUUUCACUGUGGGUUGUAUCAAAAAUCAACUUCCCAAGUCAAGUACGAAAUUAGUUUUUGAGAUUUCUACAAUAGACACUCUUUAAUGCCUUGCAAAAUAAGCUUUGAGCAGUUAUGUCCAUUUUUUCUGUGGACUGCCUAUUUAAUACCUUGAAUACGGCAAACUAGACUUUUUGACUCUUUAUCUUUGAUUUUAGACUCUCUCAAAACUAUAUUUUGAACUGCGAGCUACUAACAGCCGUAACUGGUAUUCUUGGCAAUCUGGAAUCAAUUGUUCCACUUAGAGUUUUUGUGGACUAUGGUCCCUUUUUUUGUGAACUGACUCAUUUAUAAUUUAAAUAAUGGGGCAAGUAUUUGUGAAAAUUUCAAUUGGUGGAAAGAUGAUAAAAUCUCUUAACUUGAUUUGACUCUCUAGUUUCCAAACGGUCCUAAUUGUGGGAAAUCAAGUCUUGUCACUCUUCUUGAAUGUGCUGUCUUUUUAUUCUUUGAUUCUUAGUCUCUGUUUCCCACGCUUCUCUUAAGUAAAUCUGCUGUUGGCAUGUUGGUAAGGUCUGAAAACAAUCAUCGUCUGUACAUGAGUUCCUCCCAAAAUUUCACACAAAAAAUAGUGGAUUAAGAAGUUUGAAGAUCAGCUCAAAUUAGAUAUUCACAUACACAACCGGUCUAUAGAAAAUUUCAGCAAGAGCAAAAAUUAGAGUCAUGCCAUGAACAAAUGACUUAAAAUCACAAUAAGUGCAGUGGUAAAGUUUAGAGUCCCUUUAUACCCAGAGUUAGGACAACUUGACUAUCAGCUGACUGGCAGCCGGCCUUGGCUGGCCGUGGAGGCACAAACGAGUGCACCCAAACGAACGAUAUUGAGGGAUAACGAUAAGGAAUCCUGCGAUGUCUGUCAUCCAAAAACAACAACAUCAACAAAAUUGAUCAACUAAAAAGAAAAUGAGAUUGGUUUGUGAAUAAUUUCUUAAUCUAUUUUCAUUUUGGACCGAUGGAAAUAAUAAUUUACUCUUGAUAAACCACAAUUAGGUAAUAUUUUCAUUAUUAUUGUUCACAUUCGAGUCACCGCCAUCUUGGUGCACUCGUUUGUGACUCCAUGAGCGAGAACCAAUCAUAAUUGGAUUUUUUUAGGCCUCUUUCAGCCCAACCAAAAGUGAGUUGUCGUAACUCUGGGUAUUAAG
rnacentral:lncRNA from 1 species